AUCCCCUUAAAUUUCAGGUAGAAGAGGAUGAGAAAGCUUGGAAAUAGAAGCAGAAAUACGAAACUAAAGACUGAAUCACAUUGGCUCGACGCCCAACAUUUCUGCGGAUUUAUCAACAGAAUGGUGAAGGUCACUGAAGGACGUCAUUGUGUGUUGUGCUGCCUCUGUGUGCGGGUCUUCGCCUUUCUCCCAUAAUUUCAAGGCAUUCCAAGUAACAGAAGAGUUCCAGCCUUAACCCAGAUGAGAUUGUGUACAGAACUUGACGAGGACGCUGUGUGAAGCUCCGUAACAACCCGGAUGCUCUCCACUUGUGUCUGCUCUGGGCACUGAUGAGGCAGCUGCUGAAGGCACUGAAGUGGGAAGGUCUGCAUUCACAGCCCCACCUUGAGGACUUGCUGAAGUGCACCACAGAGAGAAGUGAUUUUUCAGAGUAAAGACGCAUGGGAAGGCUGGGAGCUGAGCUGAUGAUGGUUGAUCUGUUUGGUGACAAGGGAGCAGGGUGACAGCAGAUGCAUGUGUGGCGCACUGUGGACCUGCUGGCUGGAACGCCCUCCAAGAAGCUUCCUUCCCUGGCCUGCACACACUAGUGGGGUGACACGGACGUCACUCGCCCUCAGAAGUUAUCUGUUGGGAAAAGAUUCAUCAAUCUGAAUAACUUUGUUGCCUCUUACUACUGUAUAUUUAAAUGAUUAAUUACAUUUAGGGGACACACAAA